AUACGUAGGGGGCGAGCGUUGUCCGGAAUGAUUGGGCGUAAAGGGCGCGUAGGCGGCCCGGUAAGUCUGGAGUGAAAGUCCUGUUUUUAAGAUGGGAAUUGCUUUGGAUACUGUCGGGCUUGAGUGCAGGAGAGGUAAGUGGAAUUCCCAGUGCAGCGGUGAAAUGCGUAGAGAUUGGGAGGAACACCAGUGGCGAAGGCGACUUACUGGACUGUAACUGACGCUGAGGCGCGAAAGUGUGGGGAGCAAACAGGAUUAGAUACCCUGGUAGUCCACACUGUAAACGAUGAAUGCUAGGUGUAGGGGGUAUCGACCCCUUCUGUGCCGCAGUCAACACAAUAAGCAUUCCGCCUGGGGAGUACGGCCGCAAGGUUGAAACUCAAAUGAAUUGACGGGG
rnacentral:rRNA from 1 species